GUUUAAAUAGUUUAAUAAAAAACAUUGGUUUGUGGUACCAAAAAUAUAAAUAUAAUUAUUUUAAAUC
rnacentral:tRNA from 1 species